UGGAUGAAAAUGGACCAUCUGAAGGGUAAAGGGACAGCAGCCAGUUAGCUCAAUUGGUUAGAGCAUGGCACUGAUAGAGGGUAGAGGGAAUGAGUGAGAAGAGGAUCACCCUAGCCGUGUGUUGUGGCCCAUCUUCUCUGCAGCUGUAUGAGUACUCAUGGGUCCAGGGCCCUUUGCAUUCUAAUGAGACGGACCGACUCCCCCGGUGUGUGCGUUCUACUGCACGAUUAGCUAGGGCCUUGUCUCCUGCCUUUGAACUGAGUCAGUGGAGCUCUACUGAAUACUCUACAUGGACUGAGAGCCGCUGGAAAGAUAUCCGUGCCCGGAUAUUUCUCAUUGCCAGCAAAGAGCUUGAGUUCAUCACCCUGAUAGUGGGCUUCGGCAUCCUCAUCUUCUCCCUCGUCGUCACCUACUGUAUCAAUGCCAAAGCUGAUGUCCUUUUCAUUGCUCCCCGGGAGCCAGGAGCUGUGUCAUACUGAGGAGGACCCCAGCUUUUCCUGCCAGCUCAGCAGUUCACUUCCUAGAGCAUCUGUCCCACUGGGACACAACCACUAAUUUGUCACUGGAACCUCCCUGGGCCUGUCUCAGACUGGGAUUAACAUAAAAGAGUGGAGGAGAGAUAAAUAAGUUGCCUCCCUUCCUCCGCUCCCCUUUCCCAUCACCCCUCCCCCAUUUCCUCCUCCUUCUCUACUCAUGCCAGAUUUUGGGAUUACAAAUAGAAGCUUCUUGCUCCUGUUCAACUCCCUAGUUACCCACCCUAAUUUGCCCUUCAGGAUCCUUCUACUUUUUCCUUCCUGCCCUGUACCUCUCUCUGCUCCUCACCCCCACCCCUGUACCC
rnacentral:sRNA from 1 species